CACACAGCUGUGUUGUGGGUCUGGUCUAAGGUGAGUCACCAACACCACUACUAUGAUUCAAAUAUACAGUAUUUUUCACUCCAUAAAAUGCACUUUUUUCCUCCUUUAAAGCAAGGGGAAAUGUGAGUGCGUCUUAUGGAGUGAAUGGCGCUGCGCAGAGAGGUAGAACUGCGCAGCACCCCUUUAGCGAAGUGGGAGGAGGAAAGGAGCCCCUUCUGUUCCUCCUCCCGCUUCACUUAAGGGGUGCUGCGCAGCUCUCCCUAUCUGUGCAGCGCCUCUCCUUCGCAGGAGAGGUGCUGUGCAGAGAGGGAGAACUGCGCAGCACCCUUUUAGUGAUGCGCCUGUCUUGGAAGCCGGAGGAGGAACAGAAGGGUCUCCUUCUGUUCCUUCUCCAGCUUCACUUGAAGGGGCACUGCACAGUUCUCCCUCUCUGCGCAGCGCCUUUCCUUUGCAGGAGAGGCGCUGGGCAGAGAGGGAGAACUGCGCAUCGCCACUUCAGCGACGUGCCUGUCCUGGCUUCUGCCUCAGCCGUGCGCAGCCUCUUCCAGGCAGGGGGAGCCUUCAUCCCGCUGCCCUGAAGAGGCUUGGCGCGGUUAUCCCAGAAGCCAGAUCCGUCUUGCUGUUCUGGCUUCUGGGAUUCAAAAUAUUUUUUUUCUUGUUUUCCUCCCCCCAAAACUAGGUGCGUCUUAUUGUCUGGUGCAUCCUACAGAGCAAAAAAUACGGUAUGUUAAAAAAGAAAACGAGGAAACGGGUCCCCAGAUGCACAAGUGGGUCCUGUGUCUGAAAAGGUUUGUCAACAGUGUCUGCCAGCAGAACUCUAGGUUUUCCAACAGGAGUCCUUCCCAGCCCUAUAUAGAGAUCUUGAGAAGGAGACCUGAGAACUUCUGCACGCAAGGCAGAUCUUCAAACAUUGAUCUAUAGCCCUUCCCCGCCCAUUCUCUGUGUGGAUAAGCAGAGAAGAGUCGAGACGCUGGCUGGUGUUUACAGGACAGGUCACACUAAUUUGAUUCCUAGAAAGACUCUGGAAAUAUGGCCGGUGUUCUUCCUGUGAAGCAAUAUCAGCAGCCGUUAUCCUGCAAAGGCCUCCCACAAUUUACUACUUUAGAAUAUCCCUUUUAAAGCAGUAAUCUUUUUCUAGCUCAGGCAUUCUUUCAGGUUUAUCCAAGCUAAUCAGAAUGAUCCUAAGAUGUCCCAUUUCCAGCGCUCGGAAAGGAUAAUAAAACUGCUUGCUCAGCCGCAGCCUGAAAAGAUAGAGUGAAACAAACUUUUUCGAUGACAGCCCCUAAAUGGGCUCAACUGGAAUUGGGAUGCACCUCAAAAGGAUGACAUUUCUUAUGUUCUCCAUAAUUAAAGCUAUUAAGAAAGCAGUUUUUAAGAGCAUUUUAUCUGGCGUAUCGUGGAAGAAAGAUCUAGAUAUGCAUAGCAAUUAAAGAUCAACUUUGAUUCUGAUAAUCCUUUUUAAUUGCUUUUUUAAUUGUAGUGAUUUUCUUUAAAAGAAGAAUCUGUGAAGUACUCAGUGGAAAGAAGAAGAAGAAGAAGAAAAGACACACCCUAAAACGCUGAUGUGGGAAGAUUAGUUAAUCAAGAUCGCUCCAUUUUGUUUGACUAACUAGGAAGGAAACUUUGAGUGGGCCAAGUGUAGAAUAAUUAUUCUGACUAAUGUAUGGCUCUGUGCAAUCUCAUCUCACCUUCUGG